GAUGAACGCUAGCUACAGGCUUAACACAUGCAAGUCGAGGGGUAACAAGAGAAAAGCUUGCUUUUCUUGUUGACGACCGGCGCACGGGUGAGUAACGCGUAUCCAACCUGCCUAUAACUAGGGAAUAACCUUGCGAAAGUAAGACUAAUGCCCUAUGACUUCCUUUGGCGGCAUCAAAAAAGGAAUAAAGAUUAAUCGGUUAUGAAGGGGGAUGCGUCUGAUUAGCUUGUUGGCGGGGUAACGGCCCACCAAGGCAACGAUCAGUAGGGGUUCUGAGAGGAAGGUCCCCCACAUUGGAACUGAGACACGGUCCAAACUCCUACGGGAGGCAGCAGUGAGGAAUAUGGGUCAAUGGGCGGAAGCCUGAACCAGCCAAGUAGCGUGCAGGAUGACGGCCCUAUGGGUUGUAAACUGCUUUUAUACAGGGAUAAAGUUAGCCACGUGUGGUUAUUUGCAGGUACUGUAUGAAUAAGGACCGGCUAAUUCCGUGCCAGCAGCCGCCGCAGUAA
rnacentral:rRNA from 1 species